GCAAGUUGGGCUCAGCUCGGAGCUGUGCGUCCUCCGGGGUCAUCAAUAUUAAUCAUGACGAUGAGCAUCGGUUCCAGCCUGGCUGCCGAGAAGGGAUGCUGGGACUCAGAAUGAGAAAUUAUGUUAAUUUAGUUGAUUAGCCAUUCAUGUGUUCCCUUCCCGGGGCACGGCGGCACGAUGCCAGCGUUGGGUCUCGUCUGGCUGCGGCCGCCCGCUCCCUGCCCUGCCGUAAUCCUCCGGCGAAGUUUCAUGCUCCAGUUCCCCAUCCGCAGGGGAGGAGGGGGGAGAUCCACAAUCCUACCGGCUUCAAAAGGGCAAAGCCCGGCCCCGAAAGCUGUCGGAUCUGGGAUGCUAAGGACCGAGCACAGGGGGUUUGCAUCCUCCCAGGCACCUUUGCUUCAAACCAGCCCCCAGACUUUGUUUUUAAGCCUAUUUGGGGCUCUGAAAUGCACUGAGUAUUCACUGGCACUUUGGGUCCUGCCUCUGCUUUCCCUGGGACUUGAGAAAUGCUAUUUUUACAUUCGCCUUCCAAAUUUGCACGGUAUUUUAAGUAGCCUCGCGUGGAUGUCCCGCUUGAGCCCUGGAGACCAGUGUCAAGAUCAUCCGUGCACGAGUCACUGCUCCAGUGGCUGGAGGAGCUUUAAUGCAAAGGCUGAGAGCGCUGGCAGCCAUCCUGCCUCCCGAAAUAUCCAUGGGGAUGCGCCAGCCCCCCCCCCGCUAAUCCCAACCCACUCUCCACAGGGCUCGGUGGAUUGCCCCAACCUGGAGUUCGAAUACAGGGAUGCCGACAGCCACAGCGCUGAGUUAGCAGAACUGUACAGCUACACCGAGGAGCCCGAGCUCAGCACCAACAGGAGAUGCUUCGAGGAGGAUUUUCACGCUCAAGUGCAGGGCAGGAGGUGGCUGGAGCUGGAUGGGGCUCAGCAGAAGGCCUACGUCAUGCGCCUGCUGGAUGGGCUGGAGGUGGUCAACAGGGACAAGCGGCUCAAAGUAGCACGGGCCAUCCUCUACCUGGCACAGGGUGUCUUCGGAGACUGUGAUAAUGAAGGGGAUGUUCUGCACUGGUCUCGGCACAACAGCUUCCUCCUGUACCGGCUGGGAACCUUCACUGCCUUCCUGGAGCUCCUCAACAUGGAGAUUGACAACAGCCAGGCCUGCAGCAGCGCCCUGAGGAAGCCGGCCAUCUCGCUGGCCGACAGCACGGAGCUCAGGGUGCUGCUCAGUGUCAUGUACCUGAUGGUGGAGAACAUCCGUGUGGAGCAGGAGACGGAUCCCCCCGAGUGGAAAAGCUGCCGGGAGACCUUCAGGCUGGAGCUGAGUUUCCCCGUGCACACUGAAGAGCCCUUUGCUCUUCUGCUCUUCACGAUGGUGACCAAGUUCUGCAGUGGUCACGCUCCACACUUCCCCAUGAAGAAGGUCCUGCUCCUGCUCUGGAAGGUGCUUCUGUUCACGCUGGGUGGAUUUGAAGCCCUGCAGGCGAUGAAGGUGAGGAAGCGGGAGGAGCUGGGGCUGCCGCCCUUGCCAGAGGACAGCAUCCAGGUGAUGCGCAGCAUGCGCGCCGCUUCGCCUCCCACCUACUCCAUCGAGCUCACGGAGCAGCAGCAGCAGAAGCGCGGUCACCGCAGCCGGAGGCCCCUGGUGAAGCAAGACAGUUUGGAUAUCUACAAUGAGAGAGACCCCUUCAAGAAUGAUGAAGCAGGAAUUGACGAAGAGGAGAACGAUGAUGUGGACAGCGGGAUUGAGGGGGAACUGGACCUGAUGGAGCGGGACGCGAUUAUCCCCACGAUGCCUGCUCAGCGCCCACCUAUCGAAAGGGUGUCAUUCCCCAAAGGGCUCCCCUGGGCCCCCAAAGUCAGACAGAAAGACAUCGAGCAUUUCCUGGAAGCAAGCAGGAACAAAUUCAUCGGAUUCACGCUGGGACAAGACACCGAAACCCUGAUAGGGCUACCACGGCCCAUCCAUGAAAGCGUGAAGACACUGAAGCAGCACAAGUACGUUUCCAUCUCAGAUGUCCAGAUAAAGAACGAGGAGGAGCUGGAGAAGUGCCCCAUGUCUCUGGGAGAAGAGGAAGUCCAAGAAACCCCUUGUGAGAUCUUGUAUCGAGCAAUGUUGUACAAUCUCCCCCAGUAUAUGAUAGCUUUGUUGAAGAUCCUUCUUGCUGCAGCGCCCACCUCUAAAGCCAAGACCGACUCCAUCAACAUCCUGGCAGACGUGUUGCCUGAAGAGAUGCCCAUCACUGUUCUUCAGAGCAUGAAACUGGGGAUUGAUGUGAACAGACACAAAGAGAUCAUCGUGAAGAGCAUCUCGGCUUUGCUGUUGCUGCUCCUCAAGCACUUCAAGCUGAACCACAUCUACCAGUUUGAGUACGUGUCCCAACAUUUGGUGUUUGCCAACUGCAUCCCGCUGAUCCUGAAGUUCUUCAACCAAAACAUCAUGUCUUAUAUCACUGCCAAAAACAGCAUCUCCGUCCUGGAUUAUCCGCAUUGUACAGUCUAUGAUUUGCCUGAGCUCACUGCAGAAAGCCUGGAAGCCGGAGACAACAACCAGUUCUGCUGGAGAAAUUUAUUCUCCUGCAUUAACUUGCUGAGGAUCCUCAACAAGCUGACCAAGUGGAAACACUCGAGGACAAUGAUGCUGGUAGUCUUUAAGUCGGCCCCAAUACUGAAACGAGCUCUGAAGGUGAAGCAGGCCAUGAUGCAGCUGUAUGUCCUCAAACUGUUGAAAAUCCAGACCAAAUACCUGGGGCGUCAGUGGAGAAAAAGCAACAUGAAAACCAUGUCUGCCAUUUACCAGAAGGUGCGGCAUCGCAUGAACGAUGACUGGGCUUACGGCAACGAUAUCGAUGCCAGACCAUGGGAUUUCCAGGCUGAAGAAUGCACCCUGAGAGCCAACAUCGAAGCCUUCAACAGCCGGAGAUACGACAAACCUCAAGACUCAGAGUUUGCGCCGGUGGACAACUGCCUGCAGAGCGUGCUGGGACAGCGGCUGGAGCUCCCCGAGGACUUCCACUACUCCUACGAACUCUGGCUGGAGCGGGAGGUGUUUUCCCAGCCCAUUCGCUGGGAGGAGCUGCUGCAUUACCAGUGAGACCAACACCUUCACCUGCCCCCAGUCCCACCUCAGUAAGGACUCAAGGUGCUACAGGCUGAGGAAAGAAAGAUUAUUUUGGACCUGGGUGUUCUUAAGCACAGCUGGAAAAAAAUCAUGGUAUUUCCAAAGAGACCAAGCCUCUUAGUAUCUACCCAGACACCCCUGAGUAGGCAACUGCCAUCUUUCUGGAGGUCAUCCCUUUCCUGUGACUUCUCGGAGACCAUACAGCAUCAACGGACCUGCACAGAAGCCACGGAGCAGGUUCCAGUGUCACACUAGUGGCAGUGUCGAGAGUGAGCUUAUCUGGUCCUUACUGCAGAUUGACACCAGUGUACGAGAGCUCAGAGUCCAGCCUGCAGGUGGUUGCUGAAAGUUUUGCUGUCGGGUCCAUCUUCAGGGCUUGAUGUGGAGUCCCACCGCUCAGUAAAAAGACAUAGCCAUGGCUGUAAAACUUUGCACACAUCCUAUAACGCCUCAAAUCUUAUUGCUUGUGGUGAAUGAAAAUGCUGCACAAACAUGGAUUUCCCAGUGCUUUUGAAGAUUUUUAGAUGUCGUGCAGGACUGUAGUUUAAAAACUCAGAAAGCAUGGUGGGAAGUCUGAUCGGUGUGAGUCCUGCCUCUACACGCUGAAAAAGAACUGCAUUCUGCUCAGCAUCACGCAUCCUUUGGUUGCCUGGUAAAUCCAUAGGAAAUCCCAGGGUCAUCAGCUGGUGCACCAAGCAUUGGCUCUGGCACUGCCGUACAUGCACGUACACGCACAAGGUGUCACUUCUGACAGCAUUUGUGAUGCUGUACUGUAGCUUGUUAGUUUCCCACGCUUUGGGAACCCCUGCUCUAGGUUGUGCUCGAAUGUGUGAGCUGACUGCAGACUACAGCUUACCGAUGCUGUGUUUCAUGAGAGACGGGAAACAGAAGACAAGACAGUUGCUGACAAUGGCUGAGAAUGUUUAAAGCCUAGAGGUCAUAGGUAUCUGCUGCAGAGGGACUGCAGAAGCAGUAAGGCUGCUCUAGACCAAAGGCAUUCCCUGGUUCUCACUGCAGACUUGGACAGCAGUUUGCCCUUACCUGUAAGCACCUUUUUUUAUUUUGAAAGAUCAGCUACAGGCCAAAUUCUGACCAGGAACCUAAUUGUGCUUACAAAAUCUGCCAGAGACCCUGCUGGGAGUGCGUAAGCAGGGCGUGAGAUUCAGGUGACUAGCUGAAAAAACUGACAUGAGCAUCUACUCUGUGAAGUGUGCACAUUCCAGCAUGUGAAGUAUUCAACAAAUUCUAUCCAAUUAAGGUCUGCAAAAAAGGCUUGUCACCUUCUCUAACGUAUGUCUGCGUUCAAGUAGUUUGCAGUCUGCAUGACUGAAGGUUUAGGAAACAACCUGCCACCAGCUGCAGCUUGCACUCUGUCUUUUCUGUCUUUUUUCCUUCUGUAGAUAGUGGUUCUCUUUGUUUUAUAUGGAAAUCUUGAUGUUGGUUAUUUUUCUUUUUCUUUACCCUUACAUAUUCCUUCACAUUGUGGUCCUGGCUGAAGAUUGUACCCCUGACUCUGUUCUCAUACCUCAGAGCACAAAUGUUUGUCUCUUUUGCACUUAACAGUACUGAGCUGUAAAGGGACUCUUUAGAAUUGAUACCAUGAAAAAUAUGCUACAUAUACUGCCUUCCCCUAGUUUAUGCCCAACUGAUAGUUACAUGUGGCCUUUCUGGCUGUAUCUGUGCUAAUUCUUCCUAAUGAAGUGCUUGGAUCUGUUUAAUUACAGUGUGCAAAACCAGGCAAAUAACAGAAAUAGAUGGGCAUAAAGUGACUUGGUGUGUACUGAAAGUGCUCUUGGCAUCAGACCAGAGAUCAAAUACUUUGCCAUUCGCAAUGUGUAAAUACUCCCGUUCGGCCUUUUCUCUGGGACUAGCUGUCACUCCAUCCUCGAUGUUCCUGGGAUGCUGCCCACCUGCUGGCUCCGUGUUGCCAUCACCAUUUUCCUGCCUACACAGCAGCAAUGAGAGAUCUCUCUGGCUCCCUGACCCGGUUUCUGUUGCUCAAUACCUGGAGGCAGCGUCUUCCACGCAGGCACGCUCCGGGCUUGUUGCGAGGAGUGGCCAGGAUGGGUGAGAAAACAAUCCAGGGAGUGAAUCAGACUCUGGCAAAUCCCUCUUGGAGGCAAGAGGCUGGGUGUUCAGGCACCAACGCUAAUCAGCUGGAGUUAACAGGAGUGGUUUUUUGGCCUGCUCCAAGGCUUGGGCAGCUAAAAGUAGCAAACCCAAGCGUGGCAAAGG